GCUGCUGCGUGCAUGUUGCAGCUCCUAUGUUGGAUAAUUUCAAUGGUUCCGUGGUUAAAAUAAACAUAUAAAAUAUUUUUAUGCUUAUAUCGAUCUAUAGAUACUAUCGAUCAUAAAUAAUUUGACUCUUUAUAUUAUUCAGCACCCUACCUCCGCCAGUUUGUUUUUUGAUAUAAUAAUAUUGUCAAAAGGUGACGGCAUGAUGAAAUUAUGGAUCUGACAGAUUGCCACUCAUGUAAGAUGCUGAAAGCCCCACCAUUUAGGGGGAGAUGUUGUCCUUUACUGGCGACGACUUCUAGCUUGGUGUCACACCGGCUGACUGUUAUGGAAGAAACCCACUGCGACUUUCCGGUUUCUUCUGAAGAAGUUCCUAGAUUCCUCUUAUCAAAUCCCUCUGGUCUUUACCUCAGGAUCACAUAGCACGGCUGGAAACAUCCAACUUCCUCAUACCUGCGAACCUGUCCGUCCUCCACCACCCGGCAGUUGUCCCUCUGGACAGUCUCAAGAUCUUCCCGGCGCUAAUACUCUUCCCCACACGGGCCGGCUCCAGCCUCAGUCUGCCUUCUCCCCCCACAAAUUUUUUUCUCCGCACCACCAUACCGUCCCAAACUCCUGGCUCCUCGAUCUCCCAGACUGAAGACUCGCAUUCAUAAUCACCUUUGUACAAUACACUUAUCUUUUAUCACCUGCCUACUGAAUCUGUUCUGCAUGUGGGCAAAGAACACCCAAAACCAUGACAUUAAUGUUUUGACACAAAAUCAAACAUUGCUUAGAGAGCAACAUGUAACUCACAGGUUUGAUAUGACAGUGAUUCUAAAUUUUAUUGUAUUAUUAAAAGAAGAGAAAAAAACUCUACUUUAAAUGACUGACACCAAAAGAGAACCAAGACCCCCAUGAUGACUGCAGAGAAGCUCAGAUCAGAUGGGAGGAUCAGGAACACAGCAAACGUGGAAGAAGGUGCUCAUCAGCUAAAACCAUUAACUGGACCUUUGGUCUUGUAAACUCUGUGAGGCAGAAAUAAAGAAAAAUCACCUGUGGCAGAAUCAUGACGUACAGACAAGAUGGUCAUGAUGAUCAUGUCAGAGGCUACUAAAGACUGGGGUAGAUGUUCCUCUUCUAGUAUUGUAGCGAUAGCAAGACUUGAAAGCUGAUGCUUUCCAUCUAAUCUGAGAUUUAGCUAUUUAGCAAGGAAGAAUAUCCAUCUUUUUUUUAUAUCAGCAGAAAUCCUAACACCAGAACAGGAGCAUUUUUGGCUGACAAGUUCAAAAUUAAAAGGUUUUCUCUGUGGUGCAUGGAAAGAAAGGCCAAAGAAUAUAGCAGGUAUGUUUUGAAAAUUAUCUUAACAUUUUAGAAAAGAAUUAUUUGUACAAAAGUCUGAGCUGAGAUGGUUCCA